GAGAGCCGUAUGCGCUGAAAGGUGCAAGUACGGUUCGGGGAGGAGAAGCGCAUCUGCGCUUCUCCUCCAC
rnacentral:ncRNA from 1 species